AUGCCUUUAUCUACCUUGAUUGAGAAUAAUAAUGAAUCUAUGGAUGUAAAUUUUGUUAGUAGGAAUAAUUUUGGAAACAAUGCCUAUAGAGGAAACUUUAAUUCUAGACCAUUUCCUAGCAAUUCCUCUAAUAAUUAUGAAAAUUCCUACAAUAAUUCUUAUGGUAAUUUUAAUAAGAUACCCCCUGAUUUUGAAAAUAGUGUGAAAGAAUUUAUGAUCUCUCAAAAGAAUUUUAAUGCUUUGCUUGAAGAAAAAUUGCUCAAAGUUGAUGAUUUGGCUAGGAACGUUGAUAGACUUUCGCUUGAUGUUGAUUCUCUUAAACUUAGAUCUUCUUCUCCUAAACAUUAUAUCAAUGAGUCUCUCAAAGCUAUGAUAAGUUCCAUUGACGAGUACAAAGAAAGAACCGCUAGAUUGCGUGCUAAGAAAGAUUGCUUUGUAAAAGCGUGUUCUUCUAGUUUCCAUGAAAAUAUUGAUGAAGAUCUUAAAGUUAUUGAUGUGUCCCCUAUUAGAUCUUUAUUUUGCAAUAUUAAUCUUGAUAAUAAUGGGACUGGAGAUGAGUCAACUUUAAUUAGAAGGCGUCCCAAGAAUUUGGAGUUUUUAGAUCUUGAUGCUAAAUUUGGUAAAAGUGGGAUUGGAGAGGUCAUGACUUUAAAUAGUAUUGAACCCACUAUCUUGGAUUUCAAGGAAUUUGAUUAUGAUAAUUGUUCUUUAGAAAUUUGUAUUUCCUUGUUGCAAUACGUUGUUAAUUCUUCUCAUGCUUAUAGUAAAAAAAAUGUUUACCAAACAUAUUGUUGA
rnacentral:rRNA from 1 species